rnacentral:rRNA from 1 species
GAGUGGCGGACGGGUGAGUAACACGUGGGUAACCUACCCAUCAGAGGGGGAUAACACUUGGAAACAGGUGCUAAUACCGCAUAACAGUUUAUGCCGCAUGGCAUAAGAGUGAAAGGCGCUUUCGGGUGUCGCUGAUGGAUGGACCCGCGGUGCAUUAGCUAGUUGGUGAGGUAACGGCUCACCAAGGCCACGAUGCAUAGCCGACCUGAGAGGGUGAUCGGCCACACUGGGACUGAGACACGGCCCAGACUCCUACGGGAGGCAGCAGUAGGGAAUCUUCGGCAAUGGACGAAAGUCUGACCGAGCAACGCCGCGUGAGUGAAGAAGGUUUUCGGAUCGUAAAACUCUGUUGUUAGAGAAGAACAAGGACGUUAGUAACUGAACGUCCCCUGACGGUAUCUAACCAGAAAGCCACGGCUAACUACGUGCCAGCAGCCGCGGUAAUACGUAGGUGGCAAGCGUUGUCCGGAUUUAUUGGGCGUAAAGCGAGCGCAGGCGGUUUCUUAAGUCUGAUGUGAAAGCCCCCGGCUCAACCGGGGAGGGUCAUUGGAAACUGGGAGACUUGAGUGCAGAAGAGGAGAGUGGAAUUCCAUGUGUAGCGGUGAAAUGCGUAGAUAUAUGGAGGA